AGCGAAAUGCGAUACGUAGUGUGAAUUGCAGAAUUCCGCGAAUCAUCGAGUCUUUGAACGCAAGUUGCGCCCGAGGCUCGUCCGAGGGCAUUUCCGUUAGAGCGUCACC
rnacentral:rRNA from 1 species